UCAGGACGAACGCUGGCGGCGUGCUUAACACAUGCAAGUCGAACGGAAAGGGCCUUCGGGGGUGCUCGAGUGGCGAACGGGUGAGUAACACGUGAGUAACCUGCCCUUGACUUUGGGAUAACUUCAGGAAACUGGGGCUAAUACCGGAUAGGAGCUCCUGCUGCAUGGUGGGGGUUGGAAAGUUUCGGCGGUUGGGGAUGGACUCGCGGCUUAUCAGCUUGUUGGUGGGGUAGUGGCUUACCAAGGCUUUGACGGGUAGCCGGCCUGAGAGGGUGACCGGCCACAUUGGGACUGAGAUACGGCCCAGACUCCUACGGGAGGCAGCAGUGGGGAAUAUUGCACAAUGGGCGGAAGCCUGAUGCAGCAACGCCGCGUGCGGGAUGACGGCCUUCGGGUUGUAAACCGCUUUCAGCAGGGGCGAACUUGUGGUGACGGUACCUGCAGAAGAAGCACCGGCUAACUACGUGCCAGCAGCCGCGGUGAUACGUAGGGUGCGAGCGUUGUCCGGAUUUAUUGGGCGUAAAGGGCUCGUAGGUGGUUGAUCGCGUCGGAAGUGUAAUCUUGGGGCUUAACCCUGAGCGUGCUUUCGAUACGGGUUGACUUGAGGAAGGUAGGGGAGAAUGGAAUUCCUGGUGGAGCGGUGGAAUGCGCAGAUAUCAGGAGGAACACCAGUGGCGAAGGCGGUUCUCUGGGCCUUUCCUGACGCUGAGGAGCGAAAGCGUGGGGAGCGAACAGGCUUAGAUACCCUGGUAGUCCACGCUGUAAACGGUGGGUACUAGGUGUGGGGUCCAUUCCACGGGUUCCGUGCCGUAGCUAACGCUUUAAGUACCCCGCCUGGGGAGUACGGCCGCAAGGCUAAAACUCAAAGGAAUUGACGGGGCCCCGCACAAGCGGCGGAGCAUGCGGAUUAAUUCGAUGCAACGCGUAGAACCUUACCUGGGUUUGACAUGGAUCGGGAGCGCUCAGAGAUGGGUGUGCCUCUUUUGGGGUCGGUUCACAGGUGGUGCAUGGCUGUCGUCAGCUCGUGUCGUGAGAUGUUGGGUUAAGUCCCGCAACGAGCGCAACCCUCGUUCACUGUUGCCAGCACGUUAUGGUGGGGACUCAGUGGAGACCGCCGGGGUCAACUCGGAGGAAGGUGGGGAUGACGUCAAGUCAUCAUGCCCCUUAUGUCCAGGGCUUCACGCAUGCUACAAUGGCCGGUACAAAGAGUUGCGAGCCUGUGAGGGUGAGCGAAUCUCGGAAAGCCGGUCUCAGUUCGGAUUGGGGUCUGCAACUCGACCCCAUGAAGUCGGAGUCGCUAGUAAUCGCAGAUCAGCAACGCUGCGGUGAAUACGUUCCCGGGGCUUGUACACACCGCCCGUCAAGUCAUGAAAGUCGGUAACACCCGAAGCCGGUGGCCUAACCUGUGUGGGGGAGCCGUCGAAGGUGGGACUGGUAAUUAGGACUAAGUCGUAACAAGGUAGCCGUACCGGAAGGUGCGGCUGGAUCACCUCCUUUCU
rnacentral:rRNA from 1 species